rnacentral:rRNA from 1 species
AAAGCUCGUAGUUGAACUUCUGUAUAUGCCCGAUUCAGGCUUCGGUCUAGUCGUGGUGUUUACAUCCGCUUGCAAACCUAGACCGGCCUUCAUUGACCGACUAGGGGAGUAGGCUUUUUACCUUGAAAAAAUUAGAGUGUUUCAAGCAAGCAAUGGCCUGAAUAUAUUAGCAUGGAAUAACAGAAUAGGACCCUUGUCUAUUUGGUUGGUUAUUAGACAUGAGUAAUGAUUAACAGGGACAGUUGGGGGCACUAGUACUUAAUUGUCAGAGGUGAAAUUCUUGGAUUUAUUAAAGACUAACCUAUGCGAAAGCAUUUGCCAAGGAUGUUUUCAUUAAUCAAGAACGAAAGUUAGGGGAUCAAAGAGGAUUAGACACCCUCCUAGUCUUAACUAUAAACUAUACCGACUCAGAAUCGGAUCGGCUUAUAAAACUGAUUCGGCGCUGUAUGAGAAAUCAAAGUCUAUGGGUUCUGGGGGGAGUAUGGUCGCAAGGCUGAAACUUAAAGGAAUUGACGGAAGGGCACAACCAGGCGUGGAGCCUGCGGCUUAAUUUGACUCAACACGGGGAAACUUACCAGGUCCAAAC